GCCGAGGUAGCUCAGUCGGUAGAGCAGUGGACUGAAAAUCCAUGUGUGGGCAGUUCGAUUCUGCCCCUCGGCA
rnacentral:tRNA from 1 species